UACGUAGGUGGCAAGCGUUGUCCGGAUUUACUGGGCGUAAAGAGCGCGCAGGCGGCUGGCCAAGUCCGAUGUGAAAGCUCCCGGCUUAACUGGGAAACUGCAUCGGAAACUGGUCGGCUUGAAGGUGGGAGAGGGUAGCGGAAUUCCCGGUGUAGUGGUGAAAUGCGUAGAUAUCGGGAGGAACACCGGUGGCGAAGGCGGCGACCUGGGUAGAUACUGACGCUGAGGUGCGAAAGCGUGGGGAGCAAACAGG
rnacentral:rRNA from 1 species